CCACAAACCCGAAAGUGAAUUUACGAAGCCAGUUUGUUAAAAUACCACAAAAUGGACUUGAAGCAACGUUUUAUACGACGUCUAAACGAGGCAGGCGGUAACACUAAACCCCCCUCCACCCAGCCCCACCGCCACUACCGUCUCCUGUCUUUGAACAGGCAUCGGCACGAAGAACAUUCCUGAGCGAGGACAAGUGAGACUCGAAAGCACGACAAGAACGUGGGAGCCGGCUGAUGAGAUGCUGCAAGUUGAAGAAGAGUCGCCUUUAAAACACACACAUCUCACCAAAGGACCUACAGCAAAUGUGGCAUCCAUUAUCCCUAAAUGAGGUGCGACACACACACACAC